UACGGGGGGGGCUAGCGUUGUCCGGAAUCAUUGGGCGUAAAGCGCGUGUAGGCGGCCAGGUAGGUCGGUUGUGAAAAUUGGAGGCUCAACCUCCAGACGUCGAUCGAAACCAUCUGGCUAGAGUCCGGAAGAGGAGAAUGGAAUUCCUGGUGUAGCGGUGAAAUGCGCAGAUAUCAGGAAGAACACCGAUGGCGAAGGCAGUUCUCUGGGACGGUACUGACGCUGAGACGCGAAAGCGUGGGGAGCGAACAGG
rnacentral:rRNA from 1 species